rnacentral:miRNA from 3 species
UCUCUGGAGGGAAGCACUUUCUG